rnacentral:piRNA from 1 species
UCCCNGCUGUGCUUCUACCCACACCGGCC